rnacentral:piRNA from 1 species
UACCCCUCACUGGGUUGGUGUGUGGAUU